rnacentral:lncRNA from 1 species
UGCUCGACUCUCGUGUUGUUAUUCAAUGCAUGCUCUCUUCACAAUCGAGCGCGGUUAUAACAAACCUUUUAAUAUUGUAAUGUUUUUAAAAUACGCCAUUACAUUCGUCCUUUCUUGUAAACGUUGAUACGCUUUGUACCGAUUCACUUGUUACUACGCGUCUUGUUUAUAAGAUUUUUAAAAGAAACAGUAUUGUCUAGGACUGACCCAAUAUUAGCAAAUGUAAACAUUUGAUAAUAGCCGAACAGAGAAAUGUCUAUAAGUAUAGAGGAAAUUUCAGUCAUUGGUUUAUCUGGAUUUAGUACAUAAUUCGUAUUCGGUAAUUACAGUAGAGUAAGACUUUAGCCUUUUUUUGGUCUCUAUUAAUCAUUAUAUUGUGUUAACAUACUAUAAUCUAUAUCACAAAGUUACAGUGUCAGAUGCGCACAGACCGUCAUUGGCAUCAUACGAAUAGACAUAAAUUUUCGAGUUUUCUAGCGUACUCCUACUAACAUUUUUAAACAUAUACUGAAUAAUGUGACAUAUACUGAAUAAUGCGUUUUAUACACACAAGCAAUCCUGGAUAUGAUAUAGACGAUGCAAGCUGUCCAUUAAAAAAUAACGGUAUUCUAUUUCAGAAAGUCAAAGCAAAAAUUUAAAUCUCACUUGUAUUAUUAAGAAUGCAUAUACAGCAAAAAAUUAAAGCUUAUUCAUGUCAAAACGAAAGCUGUUUACAAAAUUUAUAAAGGUGGUGAACACUACUAAACAGUGCUCAUUGAAAGACAUGUAUAAUAUAGUGACAUAUAAUUUGUCGUUUGACCACAGUUAACUGUGGUUUGACUUAUCUUUGGUGUAUGAUUUUAAUACCGUACAGGGCCUUUUUUAAGGAUUUUCCUGGGGGGGCAUUUUUUGAAAAGGGACCUUUCUGUGAGACAAUAUAUUAGAGGGGGAUAGCAAUGGCUGAAAACCACGUGUCUGGCCAAUAUACCACGCAUGAAUGGGGGGUCUGGGGUGUACUCCCCCAGAAAAUUUUUGAAAUUUGAAUCCCGGAAAUGUCAUUUUCUGCAUUCUGAGCAUCCAAAUUUGCUCCAAAAUUUAUUCUAGCUAUACUUGUAUUUGAAAUAAAUAAAGGAAAAAACGCACAAAAAGUUAAAAAAAAUUAACCAUCAUUUAUCAUUACUUAUUAGAGGAGGAUAGCAAUGGUCACAUGUGUGGGGCCAUACUCCCCCAGAAAAUUUUUGAAAUGUGAAGCACGGAAAUGCCAUUUUCUGCAUUCUAACUGUAAUUUAUCAUUACUUAUUAGAGAGAUAAUCCCCAGAACAUUUUUGAAAUUUGAAGCACGGAAAUACCAUUUCCUGCAUUCUGAGCAUUCAAAUUUGCUCUAAAAUUUAUGCUAACUAUAGUUGUAUUUGAAAUAAAAGAAGGAAAUAAUGCACAAAAGGUAAAAAAGAAUAUUAACCGUAAUUUAGCAUUACUUAUUGGAGGGAUAAUCCCCAGAAAAUGUUUGAAAUUUGAAACCCGGAAAUGUUAUUUCCUGCAUUCUGAGCAUCCAAAAAAUAAAAAAUAUUAUUAUCAAUAAUUUAUAACUACUUAGUGGUGGAGAAACGUAACAAUUUAAAUCGAUUUUGUUAAACAAGAACAAAGGAUAAAGCCUAAAACUUACUUUCCGU